rnacentral:rRNA from 1 species
CGCUGAAAGCAUCUAAGCGGGAAGCCCACCCUGAGAUGAGAUCUCCCACCCCUUCGAGGGGGUAAGGCUCCAAGUAGACCACUUGGUUGAUAGGCCGGAUGUGUAAGCGCAGCAAUGCGUUCAGCAGACCGGUACUAAUCCGCCGAGGGCUUGACAUU